GAAAAGACGAUAUUCUUGACUUCAUAGAAAAUCAACUGAAGAAUCAUCAUCCAAGAAAUGAUUACAAGGAGUUUUUGGAGCUGAGCUGUAUCUUUUUGGGUGGUAUCAAAAGUCAUAGAGCCGAAUUUAAAGCACCUGGUGCUUUUCAUCACGCACGGUGGUUAUCGAAAGCUCUCUAUUGCUUGAAAAUAUAUAUGUUUAGAAACCAGUUUAAAAUGGGAGCAAACGAAAAAAAAAUUUUGCAGAAAAUAUGUGUUUUCAUCGUAAUAUUUUAUGUAAAAAUAUGGUUUACUGCUCCUAAUGCAAUAAAUGCUCCAAACUCGGA